UCCUCUUCGGAGGACAAAGUGACAGGUGGUGCAUGGUUGUCGUCAGCUCGUGUCGUGAGAUGUUGGGUUAAGUCCCGCAACGAGCGCAACCCUUGAACUUAGUUGCCAUCAUUUAGUUGGGCACUCUAAGUUGACUGCCGGUGACAAACCGGAGGAAGGUGGGGAUGACGUCAAAUCAUCAUGCCCCUUAUGAUUUGGGCUACACACGUGCUACAAUGGACAAUACAAAGGGCAGCAAAACCGCGAGGUCAAGCAAAUCCCAUAAAGUUGUUCUCAGUUCGGAUUGUAGUCUGCAACUCGACUACAUGAAGCUGGAAUCGCUAGUAAUCGUAGAUCAGCAUGCUACGGUGAAUACGUUCCCGGGUC
rnacentral:rRNA from 2 species